GAUGAACGCUAGCGGCAGGCCUAAUACAUGCAAGUCGGACGGGAUUCAGGAGCUUGCUUCUGAUGAGAGUGGCGCACGGGUGCGUAACACGUAUGUAACCUACCUUUAUCAGGGGGAUAGCCUCUCGAAAGAGAGAUUAAGCCCGCAUAAAAUCACAGCACAGCAUUGUGUAAUGAUCAAAUAUUUAUAGGAUAAAGAUGGGCAUGCGGAACAUUAGCUAGAUGGCGGGGUAACGGCCCACCAUGGCGACGAUGUUUAGGGGAUCUGAGAGGAUGGCCCCCCACACUGGUACUGGGACACGGACCAGACUCCUACGGGAGGCAGCAGUAAGGAAUAUUGGUCAAUGGGCGGUAGCCUGAACCAGCCAUGCCGCGUGCAGGAAGACGGCCCUACGGGUUGUAAACUGCUUUUAUACGGGAAUAAACCCAGAUACGUGUAUCUGGCUGAAUGUACUGUAAGAAUAAGGAUCGGCUAACUCCGUG
rnacentral:rRNA from 1 species